UACGUAGGGUGCGAGCGUUUGUCCGGAAUUAUUGGGCGUAAAGAGCUUGUAGGCGGUUUGUCGCGUCUGCCGUGAAAAUUCGAGGCUCAACCUCGAACUUGCGGUGGGUACGGGCAGACUAGAGUGUGGUAGGGGAGACUGGAAUUCCUGGUGGUAGCGGUGGAAAUGCGGCAGAUAUCAGGAGGAACACCGGUGGCGAAGGCGGGUCUCGUGGGCCGAUAUUGACGCUGAGGAGCGAAAGCGUGGGGAGCGAACAGGAUUA
rnacentral:rRNA from 1 species